GCCUGGCUGGCUCAAUCGGUAGAGCAUGAGACUCUUGAUUUCAAAGGUUGUGGGUUUGAGCCCCAUGUUGGGUG
rnacentral:tRNA from 1 species